rnacentral:rRNA from 1 species
GCACGUCAAGGUGGGGACUCUAGACAGACUGCCUGCGCAAGCAGAGAGGAAGGAGGGGACGACGUCAAGUCAUCAUGGCCCUUACGCCCAGGGCGACACACGUGCUACAAUGGCGCAUACAGCGGGUCGCUACCUAGCAAUAGGAUGCCAACCUCUAAAAGUGCGUCUCAGUUCGGAUCGGGGUCUGCAACUCGACCCCGUGAAGCUGGAAUCGCUAGUAAUCGCGCAUCAGCCAUGGCGCGGUGAAUACGUUCCCGGACCUUGUACA